GCACCUGUAGUCUAAUGGAUAGAACAUCGCCCUCCGGAGGCGACAAUACCGGUUCGAAUCCGGUCAGGUGCA
rnacentral:tRNA from 1 species